CAGCCGCCGCGGGAAUACAGAGGGUGCAAGCGUUAAUCGGAUUUACUGGGCGUAAAGGGCGCGUAGGUGGUUAUUUAAGUGAGAUGUGAAAGCCCCGGGCUUAACCUGGGAACUGCAGUGGAUACUGGGUCACUAGAGUGUGGUAGAGGAUAGUGGAAUUUCCGGUGUAGCAGUGAAAUGCGUAGAGAUCGGAAGGAACAUCUGUGGCGAAGGCGACUAUCUGGGCCAACACUGACACUGAGGCACGAAAGCGUGGGGAGCAAACAGGAUUAGAUACCCCAGUAGUCCCUGUCUCUUAUAA
rnacentral:rRNA from 1 species